GCUUUACACAUGCAAGUCGAACGGCAGCGCGAGAGAGCUUGCUCUCUUGGCGGCGAGUGGCGGACGGGUGAGUAAUAUAUCGGAACGUGCCCAGUAGCGGGGGAUAACUACUCGAAAGAGUGGCUAAUACCGCAUACGCCCUACGGGGGAAAGGGGGGGAUCGCAAGACCUCUCACUAUUGGAGCGGCCGAUAUCGGAUUAGCUAGUUGGUGGGGUAAAGGCUCACCAAGGCAACGAUCCGUAGCUGGUUUGAGAGGACGACCAGCCACACUGGGACUGAGACACGGCCCAGACUCCUACGGGAGGCAGCAGUGGGGAAUUUUGGACAAUGGGGGAAACCCUGAUCCAGCCAUCCCGCGUGUAUGAUGAAGGCCUUCGGGUUGUAAAGUACUUUUGGCAGAGAAGAAAAGGUAUCUCCUAAUACGAGAUACUGCUGACGGUAUCUGCAGAAUAAGCACCGGCUAACUACGUGCCAGCAGCCGCGGUAAUACGUAGGGUGCAAGCGUUAAUCGGAAUUACUGGGCGUAAAGCGUGUGUAGGCGGUUCGGAAAGAAAGAUGUGAAAUCCCAGGGCUCAACCUUGGAACUGCAUUUUUAACUGCCGAGCUAGAGUAUGUCAGAGGGGGGUAGAAUUCCACGUGUAGCAGUGAAAUGCGUAGAUAUGUGGAGGAAUACCGAUGGCGAAGGCAGCCCCCUGGGAUAAU
rnacentral:rRNA from 1 species